UACGAAGGGGGCUAGCGUUGUUCGGAAUCACUGGGCGUAAAGGGCGCGUAGGCGGCUUUGUAAGUCGGGGGUGAAAGCCUGUGGCUCAACCACAGAAUUGCCUUCGAUACUGCAUGGCUUGAGACCGGAAGAGGUAAGUGGAACUGCGAAGUGUAGAGGUGAAAUUCGUAGAUAUUCGCAAGAACACCAGUGGCGAAGGCGGCUUACUGGUCCGGUUCUGACGCUGAGGCG
rnacentral:rRNA from 1 species